CGUGCGGCUGCGCGGUCGCGCCCACAGCAGGGCUGGGUCAGAUCGCCGUGUCGGCAUCCCUGUGUGAAGCUCAGUCGGCCGUUCCUUCACUUGGUCCAGCGCGGUACCUGAACUUCACUGAAGAUGUCGAAGCAACAGCCCGCUCAGUUUCCAAAUCCAGAAACUCCUGGCUACGUGGGAUUCGCAAAUCUUCCCAAUCAAGUCCACCGAAAAUCUGUGAAAAAAGGUUUUGAGUUCACACUGAUGGUGGUUGGGGAAUCAGGAUUGGGAAAAUCUACUCUCAUCAAUAGCCUGUUCUUGACUGACUUGUACCCAGAAAGAGUCAUUCCCGGGGCAGCAGAGAAAAUAGAAAGGACAGUACAGAUUGAGGCAUCCACGGUGGAGAUUGAGGAGAGAGGGGUCAAGCUGCGCCUUACUGUUGUCGACACACCAGGCUACGGGGAUGCAAUUAACUGCCGUGACUGCUUCAAGACGAUCAUCUCCUACAUUGAUGAGCAGUUUGAACGAUACCUGCAUGAUGAAAGUGGCUUGAACCGACGGCACAUUAUAGAUAACCGUGUGCAUUGCUGCUUCUACUUUAUCUCACCUUUUGGACAUGGACUUAAACCUUUAGAUGUAGAGUUUAUGAAAGCUAUACACAAUAAAGUGAAUAUUGUGCCCGUGAUCGCCAAAGCUGAUACUCUGACCCUGAAGGAGCGGGAACGGCUGAAGAAGAGGGUUCUGGAUGAAAUUGAAGAGCAUGGUAUCAAGAUUUAUCAUUUACCUGAUGCUGAGUCAGAUGAAGAUGAAGAUUUUAAGGAACAGACUAGACUUCUGAAGGCUAGUAUUCCAUUUUCAGUAGUAGGAUCCAAUCAGUUGAUUGAAGCCAAAGGCAAAAAGGUUAGAGGUCGUCUCUAUCCUUGGGGAGUUGUGGAAGUGGAGAAUCCAGAACAUAAUGACUUUCUAAAACUGAGAACAAUGCUGAUUACUCACAUGCAGGAUCUCCAGGAGGUGACCCAGGACCUUCACUAUGAGAACUUCCGCUCUGAGAGACUGAAGAGAGGCGGCAGGAAAGUGGAAAACGAGGAAGUGAAUAGAGACCAGAUCCUGCUGGAAAAGGAAGCAGAAGUAAGGCAGCAUUGUUUCCGUGUGUCUUGUGUCUGUAUCUGUGUCUCACGAUCUCCCACAGAUGGUUAUGAUAGGAUUCUGCAUACCUCUGUAUUGUUUUUGUGUGUAGUUGUCGCAAAAUCUUUCUUGCUUUUUGUUAUCAAAUAUACUUUAUCUUAGAAUGACAGCAUGGCCCACAUUGUGAACUGUGAAAUUUCCCACAUAAUUUUUCCUUUCAAAAUUACAAACAGAAAAAAAUUUGAGAGAAUGGCAUUGCAACAGUGCCAAGGGCUCACCCGGUACCUUGCUUUAUGUGAAAUGAAUGGAAACUGUCAUAACGGGAAUUAUAUUUCUAAAUUCUGUAUUGCAUUGUCUUAUCUGAACUUGGAGGGAAGAUUUGAAAGGAUACUUUUUAUUUGGAUUGGUUUUCUUUGAGACUUUAAAUUUUUUAACAUCAAAAAUGGUUAACUUCGGGAAUUAGUAAUGAAAUCUAAUGGUGUCAUCAGUUCAAAUCCCAUUCAAGUUGCCGAUGCAUAAAAUAGUCUUACUUUAUGACCAUUUCAAUCUAUAUAUCAGGUGAGUAAGCAGAACUGAAAAACCCCCACAACUGUAAUUUCCUUAAAGGGCGUCUCAGAGUGGGCCUGGUAUGUGUGUGUCUGGGGUCAUUCUAAAAAGGUCACAGAUGGCACUUGAUGUGCAGGACUCCUACCCUCAAUCUUAACUAGGUUUUAAGCCAUUGAAAUCUUGUCAGUCUUUGAGUUCUCAUUCCCAAUAAGCAGAUGCAUGUGCUGGGCAUUGGCUGUUCCCCGACCCCCAGCCUUCCUCAGUGCUGCUUCUCAAGUCCCCUGAGCUUGGUCUCCUCUUGGAUGAUGGGUCUUGUUUCACCAAGGACAUGGAUCCAUCCAGAGGCCCAGCCAUGGCUGUGUGGCUUGUGGGGUUCAAGUUAGGUGCCAAUGCUCUUCCGCAGAAUCUUCAUCCUGUGUGGGACUUGAGGUGCUCAAAGCACAGAGGAGGCCUCUUUGUACCUUGUAAAAUUAUGAGCCACGAGUUACAUACUGACCUUGGGAAAUUAUUAUUGAAUUGUUCAGGUGUGAUAGUCUGUAAAAGCAUGGAUUCCACUUUGCUCACCAACAGAGCUGCUGCUUAGAAAGCAGCUGCCGAUGUGAAGCCCCCCUCUCUCAGGCAGAUGAGCCCGGGGCCUGCCCUCUCAGCCCUGCUGAAAGAUCCCCACUCUGCCCAUUCAACUUGGCUUCUUGAUGAGGGCAUAAAUUACCUAUUUCAGACAGAUUUUUCAAAGAACUAUUUCCUAAGAAACACCUUUUAGAGGCAUGGGAGUGGGAGGAUCCUAAGACAGCAGGUCCAUAUUCUCCUCUUGUUGCAGCUUCGUCGUAUGCAGGAGAUGAUUGCAAGAAUGCAGGCACAGAUGCAAAUGCAGAUGCAGGGAGGAGACGGGGAUAUCGUCAUGCACGGACACCAGGCUUAAGAAUUUCACUUAGAGAUGAAAAAGAACAUUCCAAUGUGUUUUUUCAUGAAGUCGCUGAAAGGAAUUCUUCUGCAAUACCUGCAGCCUGCAAACUGUUACUCAUCAUUUUUACCCAUGGUCUGUGAAUUGUUACUCUCCAUUUUUACUUAAGGAUCGGUUGUGGUACCUUUUGUAAUAUGUACCUUGUAACAUGUAUUUUAUUGAUAUUUUAUACUUUUUCCAUAACAUGUCUGUUUUCGUGUUGCUUCCUACAUAACUACUGUUAGGUGGAAUUGGUUUUCUAGAACUAAACUAUGAAUUUGUUCUGGAUUUGUAUAGCUUCCAUUGGCUUGACUGGUUGGGCAUCUCUGUCAUUGAAGAGCACUGUGGAGUCACACAUGGGAGCGAAGUCUUCUUUAAAUCCCCAAGUGAAAGUGCCAGAGCAGGGCCCUCUGUCUGCCUGGUCUAAUGGUGACCCUCACCACAGUCCCUGGGGGAAGACGAGGGAGUCAAGAGUUCUUGUUUGGUAUAUAAGCUAUUGGGUGUAACACCUGAAACCCGGUUUUGCUGCUGCCCACCAGGCUGCAUUUAUUUACACAUUCUGGUUACUCACAUUACUGGCUUGGGAGAACAAAGAGGAACACAUACCUUUAAAUAAUUCAUGUUAAAAUAUAACCUUUUAUAAGCAGUAAUUUCUAAGGUUCUAAUGACAAGGGAAAACAGUAACCCUGUUAUUUUAAAAAAACCUAUUUUAUAAACACGAUUUUUUCUAGUAAGGUCCAAAAAGCACAUCCUUUUUGAAAUAGGGUGACAUCAUUGCUUAUGCUGUCCCACAGAAACUGAAAGCAGCAUUUCCAUCGUGAAUGAGGGGAGAUUGUCAGAGAACGGCAGAGUCCACAGGACUCUGCUUCAGUGGCUUAGCAAGAAAGGAGCACUCCUUUUCUCUUCAGACAAAAUAUUCCGGAAUCUCUUAGAUGCAGGUGCCAGUUAUUUUGGAUCCAUUUUUCUCAUUAUUUUAUAACAGCUAUUUUGAAGACCAACCUGAACAAACAGGUUUUGUGUUGGCUGUGACACCAACCUUGUCCUCAUGCAUCUGCGCUCUGGUAAAGAGAACAAGCCUCCCUUUUCCCCGUGUCCCACUUUGUUCUCUGGCAGCUGUGGGGGGCGGUAUGUUGUGUAUGGUGUCAUCUGAUUCUUCACCUUCAUUUCAUUGGUUUACAAACAGUGCUUGGUCUACAAGUCAUUUCAGUUUCCCUCCAGUUCCUAAAGGCUAAGCUCAGACCACCCCUUUGCUCUCUCUCUCAUAUGUGCCAGCCUAGGGCCUCCCUUCUCUUCCCUCUUAGUGUCUGAAGCUGAAAGGGGAGGCUGGUCCCAGAGAGGCCCACCCAAGGAGGAUCCACAGUAGGGGUGGGGGUGGGCAUGGGGGCAGGCAUGAAACAAAGCAGUACAAAGCAGUGUGAGAGAGAGGCUGCUGUUUGGCCGAAGGCAGGAAGCCUCAAGGAACAGGUGAAGAAAUAUUUAUUGCAAACUUUUGAUGGUGGCAUAAUCCUUCCAAACAUGCCAGUGUUCACUCUAGAUAUUUGAUCUGUAGUACGAUUGGUAGAGUUUAAGUGGUCACAUGCAAUGUAUUAACAGAUGUAAGAAAAGUAUUUUUUUUAGUACUUAAUCUAGAAUUAUAUUAUGUACAUUUUUUAUCAACUUUUCCAUGACAUUUCAUGUUUUAUAUUCAAGGUCAGUUAUUUGAAUUACACUAGUUUUUAUAACCUAUAUUAGAACAAACUAAAAAAAAUGAUAUAUGCAAAAUGAGAAACAUAAGCUAAGUCCUAUAUACAUUUAAGUAAAAAUACUGCUCAGGGGGAGCUAUCACUUAAAAUACUAAACUGAAAAACGUAUUAAAUUCUUUUUAUAUGACUGCAAUUUGGUUUGUUAUCCCAUGAGAUCUCAGUGUGUCCUUUGACUAAGACACAGUCGGCCUCUGCCUCUGGAGGUGAAUGUUGAGAACUCUUGUUUUACAUGGUGGCUUUGUAUCCCUUGAGCAUUUUAUCAAUAAAUAAUUCUGGUUUAGUUAU